UGUAUUUUUAGUAGAGACAGGGUUUCUCCAAGUUGGUCGGGCUGGUCUCAAACUCCCAACCUCAGGUGAUAUGCCUGCUUCGGCCUCCCAAAGUGCUGGUAUUACAGGCAUGAGCCAACAGGCCCGGGCCCCACUGUAGUUUUAAUUUGCAUUUCCCUGAUGAAUAAUGAUGUUCAGACCUUUUUGUGUGCUUUGCUUAUUGGCCAUUUUAAUUUUCUCUUUUCUAGAGUUUCUUUUCAAGUUUUGCCCCAAUUUUUAACAACUGAGUUAUCUAUCAUUGAGUAUUCUGUAUACGAGUCCUUUUCAAGGAGAGAUUUCAAAUAUCAUCUCCCAGCACAGAGGCUGCCUUUUUGUUAUUCUAAUGAUGUCUUUUGAUAAACAACAUGUAACAUUUUAAUGUUGUUCAAGUCCUAGGGUCGUUCAGAGGAUCAACAAUGUCAUCAAAGUGUCGAGCUUUUACUGUCCUUCGUUUUACCCCUCAGAGUGUGGUCCACCUUCCAUCUGCAGGGUUCUCUGCAAGCCCUUUUACAUCCACUUAUUUGACCCUCACAAUGGCACUUUGUGGGUGCAGAGCUGCAAAGAUGACUGCCUCAUUUUAUGGAGGAGGAAACUCAGGCCCAGAGAGGAAGAGGAGGAGUCACCUACACAAGGUCACAUGGCUACUAAGUGCCCAGUGGGCAUUUAAACUCAGCUCCAUUUCCCUACAGCUGCCUUUUUCUGGGCAGGGCCAAGGUUGCUCCAGUGCUUGGGAGGGGAGAGCAGGUCUCCUCGUGGUAGACUCCUCUCUGCAGUGUCCCCCUGGCAAGAGCACCAUUAAAGAUAAUGGGGGUCUGUGCCCAGAUGUGGCCCCAGGACCAUCCCAUUGUACAUCAGCCUGCCACAGGGAACGACUAUCCUGUCCCCAUUGCCAGAACCCUGCUUAGUCCUUUUGGAAGCAAGAAGCCCUCCUCCCCCUCUCAGAGAAAUGGCAGUUUUAGGAGUCCAGGAGAGAAGGUAGCGGAGUCCCAUGGGGUCAGCAGAGGUGCUGAUGCGAUUGGUCACUCACCAGACAGCAUCAACUAACCCCACCCCCUGGGAGGAAUGGGGUGGCUCCAGGCUCCUUGGUCUCUUAGAAGUGGCUCGGCACCAGCAGGGUCUGUGAAGUGGAUUCCUUUCCCCAGAAUCUAAACCCUGAAAGCCCUUCUGAAACUGCCAUGCACAUGGGGCGUCAUCACCCACAGACCUCAUAAGCAACAGUGUGGAUUCACUCAUUUAUCGACUCACUCAUUCAUUCUGAUGCUUUUUAGCAUCUUACCUCAAGGAGCCUGUUAACAUUAAUCUAGUUCACUGUAGCAAUCUUUUCUUGUAUAAUAGUUCUUUUCUUUUAUGAUAGUGCUCGCUUCUCAGAGCUGGGGAGACAAUGAUGGACUAGAUUGCCUCACUAAGCCAAUGGUGGAGUGAAAGAGACCUUAAAGGGUUAAUCCCAUCAAUAUGCAAUUUGAGUGUGAUAACACUCAUAGGAAGAGCGUAGAGAUAGACAAAGCCAGAUGACUGAUUUAUUUGGGAGGUGUGGGAGGUUGGCUCACCAUA
ensembl:lncRNA novel transcript, antisense to PSMF1